AGUGAACGCUGGCGGUAGGCCUAACACAUGCAAGUCGAACGGCAGCACAGUAAGAGCUUGCUCUUACGGGUGGCGAGUGGCGGACGGGUGAGGAAUACAUCGGAAUCUACUUUUUCGUGGGGGAUAACGUAGGGAAACUUACGCUAAUACCGCAUACGACCUACGGGUGAAAGCAGGGGAUCUUCGGACCUUGCGCGAUUGAAUGAGCCGAUGUCGGAUUAGCUAGUUGGCGGGGUAAAGGCCCACCAAGGCGACGAUCCGUAGCUGGUCUGAGAGGAUGAUCAGCAACACUGGAACUGAGACACGGUCCAGACUCCUACGGGAGGCAGCAGUGGGGAAUAUUGGACAAUGGGCGCAAGCCUGAUCCAGCCAUACCGCGUGGGUGAAGAAGGCCUUCGGGUUGUAAAGCCCUUUUGUUGGGAAAGAAAAGCAGCAGGUUAAUACCCCGCUGUUCCGACGGUACCCAAAGAAUAAGCACCGGCUAACUUCGUG
rnacentral:rRNA from 1 species